rnacentral:tRNA from 1 species
ACCUGGCUGGCUCAGUUGGUAGAGCAUGGGACUCUUGAUCUCAGAGUUGUGAGUUCAAGCCCCAUGUUGGGUG